AUACUCUUCAUAUGAAACUCACAAAUCUAAAUGCCUAAUCCUCUGCAGAGAUCUAAGAACAUCCAUUACUGUAAAGUUUCUAAAAAUAUGCGUUGGUAAUUAUGAAACAAAGAACCUUCUCACAAAUUAAGCAUUGUGUUUUCAAUUGUUUUGCUGUAGUGUGUAAUGAUGUGUUUACAUUUUUGAAAGCUUCGAGCUGCUCUUUUGGUGUGAAAGUUUGAGUUUUGAAGUGAGAAGGUGUGGUUGUGUUUAUGUAGCUUUAGAAAAGGGUUUUGUGUUUAGACAUUGGGGAACAUGGAGGAAACGUUUGUGAAAUGUGUUUUAGCAUUUGAGAAAAACUGUAAUAGGUGUUUCGUAUGAAAUAUAUCCAAAGUCCUUCUUAUUACAGUUGUUUUCAACUGCUUAAACACCAAAUCUUUACUUGUCACACAGUUUCUGAAACCUGACACUCAAACAGCAGAACCACACACCACACUGCAAACCAAACGCUAAUUUUUGGCCUUUGAAUCAUCUACAGAGUAGCAAGGUGAAGGUUUCAUGGUCGGCGAGGUCACAAGUUCACUGAAGAGCAAGAGACAGCUAUUGUGAAUAAUUCUAUAAGAAUUUGUGAAAUAUGCAAUCAUAUCCUUAAUGAUACCACAAUUUUUUGCUAACAUAAAUGCUGUGAGCCCCUCAACAAUACAUUGUGUCCUCCAGUGAAAUCAACUGAGAAUGAAACGGCUGUAUAAGAUCCCAUUUGAAAGGAACUGUGACAGAGUCAAGAACCAUCAACAUGACUUUGUGGAGACAAUUUUGGAGAUGGAUGCCCAUGCUAUCAUCCAUGAAUAUAUUUAUGUGGAUGAGGUGGGCUUCAAUUUCAGCAAAACCAGAAGAAGGGGGAGAAAUGACAAUUACUUUUGAUCUUGUACAGAAAUGUCCAUAGGAGCUCAUGAAAGAAGAGCUUUAGUUUUGAAUUACUGUGUGUAUAUGACAUAUCCAAAAAAUAUAUUAUUAUGGCAAAAGUAUUUGCAACGUAAGACAGAUGUUUGCUUUUGAGAUGUGUUUGUGAUCUUUUGAAUGCAGUGUGUCAUUUUAGAAGACAUGUGAGGCAUUUUGCAUUUUGUGUGUGCAAUUCUUGGAUUUAUGUGUUAAGUUAAAAAAGAGGUAAGGUUUAGAAAAUGUGUGUAUAAGCAGUUGAAAAAAAAAAAGGUGACCCAAACUUCUAGGCAGUAACCCAACCGCUGGGUCAAAACAACCCAAUUGCUGGAUUUGUCCAUAUUUUACCCAGUGCUGGGUUGUAUCUAACCCAGCAUUAUUUAGAGUACUUUUGUACUGUUGGGAUAAUUUAAAGUUUACCGUUAUUUUGUGUUAUAUUCCACUCAUGUGUAACUCAGGGAAUGUGAAUAAAAAUGAAGAUUUUCUAUGCAGUAUGUCGUUCCAUUCUG
ensembl:lncRNA